rnacentral:rRNA from 1 species
ACUGAGCGGCGGACGGGUGAGUAACGCGUGGGUAACCUGCCUCAUACAGGGGGAUAACAGUUGGAAACGGCUGCUAAUACCGCAUAAGCGCACAGUACCGCAUGGUACGGUGUGAAAAACUCCGGUGGUAUGAGAUGGACCCGCGUCUGAUUAGGUAGUUGGUGGGGUAACGGCCUACCAAGCCGACGAUCAGUAGCCGACCUGAGAGGGUGACCGGCCACGUUGGGACUGAGACACGGCCCAA